AGUGAACGCUGGCGGUAGGCCUAACACAUGCAAGUCGAACGGCAGCACAGUAAGAGCUUGCUCUUACGGGUGGCGAGUGGCGGACGGGUGAGGAAUACAUCGGAAUCUACUUUUUCGUGGGGGAUAACGUAGGGAAACUUACGCUAAUACCGCAUACGACCUACGGGUGAAAGCAGGGGAUCUUCGGACCUUGCGCGAUUGAAUGAGCCGAUGUCGGAUUAGCUAGUUGGCGGGGUAAAGGCCCACCAAGGCGACGAUCCGUAGCUGGUCUGAGAGGAUGAUAAGCCACACUGGAACUGAGACACGGUCCAGACUCCUACGGGAGGCAGCAGUGGGGAAUAUUAGACAAUGGGCGCAAGCCUGAUCCAGCCAUACCGCGUGGGUGAAGAAGGCCUUCGGGUUGUAAAGCCCUUUUGUCGGGAAAGAAAAGCAGCAGGUUAAUACCCCGCUGUUCUGACGGUACCCAAAGAAUAAGCACCGGCUAACUUCGUG
rnacentral:rRNA from 1 species